CUCAUUCUUAAAUACUUAAUUUUUAGUAAUUCAUUUUAGCAAAUGUCCACCGUUGUGCACUUCAUACAUGUAUUGUAAUGUAUUCCUAUGUUACUUUUAUAGGGUACAAACACAACUACAGUACUUAGGGGUAAUUGUUCGUGCAUACCUCGAGAAUGAAGAGAAAAUUUCGCAGUUCCAGAGAUGACGACUUAUCCUGCAGCAUAAAAGUACUUUAUAACUUACGGUUGAUGGAUAACAAGGUUAAAGAAUAGUUAUAACCAAAGGAGACGAAUCCUCUUAAAAAUGGAAGCUCAAAAACAGUUGUAGAUGACUCAAAUCAUGUUUAAAAAUACCCAAGGUAGCAGUGUUACAUGAACACAUCGACUACUAGCAGCAUAUAUACAGGGUAUUUUAUGUUUGAUAUUGACUAUCUGAGUGCUAUGCAGGCUGUGGAUCAUGGAAAUAUUGGUGAUAAACGAGCCAUUGACAUCAGUUUUUUUUUUGGAAAGAAAUUCAGGACAGUGCUUGACUUAAGAAGUUGCAAACGAUGAGUUAAACUGUGUUCAUAAGCCACUAGACUUUGUUGUAACAUAAUAAUUUUGAAUGUGACGAAAAUUUUGUCUGAUUAAAUAUUUGGACACAUUUUGCCAAUUAAAUUAUAGUGUAAUUUUACGUUGUCAAAUGUUAUAUUUCUAACUUGUCUAACUUGUCAUUUUAAAGUUGCUUCAAUAUUUCACAUUUUUGUAUUUUUUUUAAUUUUACCUCUUUUAAUCAAUUAAAGAUAUUUUUAAUCAAUUAAAUUAUUAUUUUUACAAGACCACAAUAAUGUUUCAGAGAAUGGAACACUUUUUUCUGGAACAUGUAAAUUGUGUUCCAGUAGUAUACACUAUGUGUUCUGGAUAUUAACACAUAUAUCUGGAACACAGUCCGAGUGUUCCAGAAGUGUAACAAGGCUUGGAACCCGUAACGGCGUACAAUUUUGCUCACAAGGACAUGUUCCAGAUUCAAACACUAGGCGUUCAAUGAGUACACACUCCGUUCAAGAAUAACACACAUAGCGUUCGAAUGAUGCACACAUGAUGUUAAAAACUGGAACACCAAUGUUAAUAUUUAGAACACUGUUACGCGUUCGAGAUUCAAACACUAGGCGUUCAAGGAGUACACACUAUCCGUUCAAGAAUAACACACACAGCGUUCGAAAUAUGCACACAUGAUGUUAAAAACUGGAACACCAAUGUUAAUAUUUAGAACACUGUUACGCGUUCCAGAAGUGUUACAAAAAGGCGUUCAAAAAGUGUUCAGAUUCUUAACACUUUUAUUUACAGUGUAUAUCAUACGGUGAUUAGAGAAAGGUUCCGAUUUAAGUAUUCCUUAGUUAAGUGAAGACUUAAGUAAUGUUAUGCAUACGACUUAAGAUUUUUACUUAACUUAGGAAAUUCUUAGUGAAAUCUAAGUUUAAGGAACACUUAAGUUAAGAUGUUUUAUGCAUACGGGCACUGGGUACUCCAAAUUAUAUGGUGUACGGUGAAACUGGCAGAUAUCCCUUGGUAAAUAAAGUCAAAAUUAUUAUUAAACAGCACAAAAUUAUCAGGAUUGUUAUACCAAUUUUUGUAUAACAUGCCUAAUUCUGGAAAUAUUGUUUCUAAGUGGAUUAAUUGUAUAAAAUCUACAUUAGAAAACACAGGUUUGAGCUAUGUAUGGAACAAUCAAUGUAUUUUUAGAAAUGUUGACAUCAAAAUAUAUGUAAAGCAAAUUUUACAUGACCAGUUUAUUCAAAAGUGGUUUAGUGAUGCUGAAAACUCCGGAAGAGGUGGAUAUUAUUUACUGUUUAAACGAUUUUUGCUUAGAAAAUUACUUAUUAAGAUUGAAAAGAGAAAAUAGAAUAUAUAUAACCAAACUUAGAUGUUCAAAUAUCAAAAUUCCAUUAGAAACUGGUCGAUGGCAUAACAUUACAAAAAUAAUUGUAUUGGAAAUCAGUUUCAUUACUUAUUUGUAUGUCGCAAUGACGAGGUUACAAAAUUAAGACGUGCAUAUAUCCCAAAUUACUAUAUUGUUAACCCUUCAGAAUAUAAAAUGAAACUUUUUUUUUAAGGUUUGAUGUCUUUAUGUAAUGAAAAAGUCUUGAAUAAAUUGUCAAUUUUUAUAAAAAAAACUUAUGAAAUAUCUAUGAUUAUGAGUAUAUUAUCAUCACUUACAUUUAUUCGACUGGCGAUCUUAAAUCCCAUAAUUAUAGCUCUGAAUGUUUUUCACGUGUUAUUUAUGUGUAUACUUGUGUACAGAGAAUUAGGUAAAUGAACUAUGUAUGUAUAUUUUUUUCUAUCUUGUUCACCAUUGUAAAAUAUUAUUUGUAUCAUUUAUCUGCCUCUUGUUACAGUGUAAACUGUCUAGAGUGUUAAUAUGUUCUGAAGUUCUGAUUUACUACAUGUACUAUUCAUGUAAAAUGGCAAUAAUCUAAUCAAUUAAUUAAGUAAUAAACAUCUAUAGAAAAAGGAUUACUCAAACAAUAGUAUUUGGGAAUUGUAAAAAAAACACAUUUAAUGAUCAAUUAGAACUUACUAAUGCCUUUAAUCAGUUCUGAGGGUCGACACAGGGUGCAACCUCGGAAUUUGUUCUUAUUUAGAAAAUAAUCUUGUCAACUUUUUCUUUGACGAGUCGAUUUCUCAACUUUGUUACGUAACUAACAGUCCUGCUGAUGAAAAUAUUUGCCCUGAAGGUACGGAGGUGGAAUUACUAAGACAUGAUUAGCUAAAAGUGUAAGCCUUGGAAAGGUGCUCUUGUUCAUACCUUACCUAUGUUCGGAGGAAUUUUAAAUGACAAUUAAACGCGAACAUUCGAAACGUACUUUAAUUUUAAUUAAUUUUGAUUAAUAUUUAAUUUCCAGGGAGGCGCUCUAAAUAAAAAUAUCAAUUCUUUAAGAGUGCAACAACAAUCUAACAGGAAACCGAUUAGUCGAGUACCAUUUUGGUAUUCGAUACUCGGUACUACCGAGCGAUACUCGAGUACUCGUUGACAUCCCUAGAAAAUUUAGAAUUAUUAAAUACUGGUUGAAUAUUUUAACUAACAAAACACCAAUUGUAUAUGAUGUUUAUAAAUUAUUACUAGAAGAUGCCAAUAAUGGCAAAACAAAUUGGGCUUCUAAUUUACGUGAUUUAUUAUUGAUAAUGGUCUAAAUUAUAUAUGGUAUCAACAGUCAGAAACAAAUAUAAUCAAAUCUAUUGAUGUAAUUAAGAAUAGGAUUAAAGAUCAGUAUAUACAAAGCUGGUUAGCAUCUGUAGAAAGGAGUGAACAACUUAGUAUAUAUAAGAAUAUAAAGUUAGAAUUUAGAUUUGAAGAUUAUUUAGAUUACUGUUAUAAUUCAUACUUUUUAACUAAAUUGCGUAGUGGUACACUAAAGCUGAACAUUGAAACAGGAAGAUAUACUGACAUGGCUAGAGAAUUGCGAUUAUGCAAAUGUUGUAAUAUGCAGUGUAUUGAGAACGAAUACUAGUACCCCCUUUUUAUUAGAUCAAUAAAUAGAUCUAUAGAUCAAUUAGGCCUAAAUUUUUGCCAAUAUUUUAUUGUUCUUGGCCAAACACUACUAAAUUACAGUAUUUAUUUAAAUUUACGUCUGUUUCACUUAUAAAGAAAUUGUGUAAUUACAUAAAAUCUGCAUGGUCAAUCAGAUCACAUAUUGUUACUUAAUGUUGCUUGUUUUUCUCAUUAUGUAUUUUAUGUAUUGCUCUCUGCUGUUUAUCAUUUGUCGUAUUGUAAAUAUGUAUUCGUUGCUAUAGCAUAGUUAAUGCUUUCUGCAAUAAAGUAUUCAUUCGUU